ensembl:lncRNA
AGAAGAAUGGGGCCACUUGAACCAGGAAGCACAGCCCUCUGUGGGCAAAGCCAGGCUUCAAACCCAGGCCUCAACGGUCCCUCCCCCUCUGCUGGCAGCUGCUCUGGUUUCUCUCUUGAAAGAAGAGACAGUUGACCGAAGGUUGGCCUCUGAAAUGCAGGGAGGACUGGAGGCAGUGGUGGGGUGACGACUUCUGGGCUUGUCAUGUUACACCGUCAUCGUCUGGAAGAGUAACUCCGAGGUCAGGAAGUUCCAAGGAGUAAUGCUUUGUCACGGACUCAUGGAGACAAUUCAUCUUCAGAAGUUCAAGGGAGGGUAAGGCAAUGGACUUGACUGAGUCCAGAAGAACAGAUUCAGCAGUCAAUGAGGUGUUCCCCACGGCAGAGCAAAAUUGAAAAGUUUUCAUAUGAGUUAAAGUCCUUUUCCUUAAGGGGUUCUUUCUCGUGAGAAUCUCAUCAAAUCCUCCAUUUCCCCAUGGACCAGAAGAACCCAGCAUGAUAUCUGUGUGUCGAAAGAACACAACUGUCUUGGAGUCUGUUCUUCACUAGCCCAAGAGCUUAUCCGAAGUGCCUCAAAAGCAUUCCCAGGCAGCCUCCAAGGCCUGGGGCAUCUCCUGCCAGCUCGGCUUCCUGCAAACAUGCGUGGAUUGGAAACGGACAGAUAGAGGCUCUGCAUCUAGUGUGUGAAGAGCUGGACAGUAGCCAUUUAGGCUUUGGAAGCCGUACGAAUCUAUAUUGCAUAUUCUUCUCUGGUGGAAACAACACAAAUAUCUAUCAACUGAUGCUGCUGCUGCUGCUAAGUCGCUUCAGUUGUGUCCGACUCUGUGCGACCCCAUGGACUGUAGCCCACCAGCCUCCUCCAUCCAUGGGAUUUUCCAGGCAAGAGUACUGGAGUGGGGUGCCAUUGCCUUCUCCAAUCAACUGAUGAGUGGAUCAACAAAAUAUGGUAUAUCCAUUCAAUAGAAUAUUAUUUAGCCACAAAAAGC